rnacentral:rRNA from 1 species
AUGAACCCGGAGGGAUGGGGAGGGAGGAACAACCACAUAUACUUCCCAAGUUAUCAGUCUGAACAACCUUGGGCUGCAGUCCAACUAUGGCAAAUAUGUUAUUACCGUUCGACAUGUUCGCAACUCUUCAACACUGGAAGACGGUACCUGAAAUUGGAGUCAACCUGGGUCUUCCCCACGCGUUUCCUCGUUCCGGCCAGCGAUGAUCUUACGGUCGUGGGUGCGGUUGGUAAUUAG